rnacentral:lncRNA from 1 species
ACCCCUCCCGCCUGGCUCGGGCGCCAGGAGAAGCGGACAUUUUAGCCUCCUCUGCAAUCCGCUCUCUCGUUCGUGUCCUUCUCCCCCCUCUCGUCCGGUUGGAGUGCAGUGGUGCUGUGUCUGGAGUUUGUUCCUGCCGUUGGGUUUGUGGUCUUGCUGACUUCAAGAAUGAAGCCACGGACCUUCACGAGAAAUAUUACGUUGUAUGGAUGUACCACUGUUUGUUUAUCCAUUCUUCAGGUGAAGGACAUGUGGGUUGUGCCCAGCGCGGGCUGAAUAAAGCCAUCAUAAUGUGAAGAAGCCGAAGCAGCCUGUGAAGAGGCGCUAGUGGAAAGGAACUCAGGUGCCCCUGCCCUCAGUCCCAGCUGAACUCUCAGCUGACAGCCAUCACCAACUUGCCAGCCACAGGAGUGAGCCAACUUGAGAGUGGAUCUUUCAGUCCCAGUGGAGCCAUCUCAGCUGACACACCAUGGUAAAAAGAUGAACCAUCCUUGCUGAUCCUUGCCAGUGCUGCAGAUACAUAAGCAAAAUAAAUGUUUUUGUUGUUUUAAGCCACU